GAUGAACGCUGGCGGCGUGCCUAAUACAUGCAAGUCGAGCGAACAGACGAGGAGCUUGCUCCUCUGACGUUAGCGGCGGACGGGUGAGUAACACGUGGAUAACCUACCUAUAAGACUGGGAUAACUUCGGGAAACCGGAGCUAAUACCGGAUAAUAUAUUGAACCGCAUGGUUCAAUAGUGAAAGACGGUUUUGCUGUCACUUAUAGAUGGAUCCGCGCCGCAUUAGCUAGUUGGUAAGGUAACGGCUUACCAAGGCAACGAUGCGUAGCCGACCUGAGAGGGUGAUCGGCCACACUGGAACUGAGACACGGUCCAGACUCCUACGGGAGGCAGCAGUAGGGAAUCUUCCGCAAUGGGCGAAAGCCUGACGGAGCCACGCCGCGUGAGUGAUGAAGGUCUUCGGAUCGUAAAACUCUGUUAUUAGGGAAGAACAAAUGUGUAAGUAACUAUGCACGUCUUGACGGUACCUAAUCAGAAAGCCACGGCUAACUACGU
rnacentral:rRNA from 1 species